GACGAACGCUGGCGGCGUGCCUAAUACAUGCAAGUAGAACGCUGAAGGAGAAGCUUGCUUCUCCGGAUGAGUUGCGAACGGGUGAGUAACGCGUAGGUAACCUGCCUGGUAGCGGGGGAUAACUAUUGGAAACGAUAGCUAAUACCGCAUAAGAGUAGAUGUUGCAUGACAUUUGCUUAAAAGGUGCAAUUGCAUCACUACCAGAUGGACCUGCGUUGUAUUAGCUAGUUGGUGAGGUAACGGCUCACCAAGGCAACGAUACAUAGCCGACCUGAGAGGGUGAUCGGCCACACUGGGACUGAGACACGGCCCAGACUCCUACGGGAGGCAGCAGUAGGGAAUCUUCGGCAAUGGACGGAAGUCUGACCGAGCAACGCCGCGUGAGUGAAGAAGGUUUUCGGAUCGUAAAGCUCUGUUGUAAGAGAAGAACGAGUGUGAGAGUGGAAAGUUC
rnacentral:rRNA from 1 species